CGGUCCAAUCCAAGCGGCCGACGAAGAGGGGAGAGGGGGCUAGCCGGCUAGCGUGUGGACGGGUGCGGCUCUCGGCUCGCCACGACACCCCCAUGCCGCCGCCCCGCCGCGCCGGCGCGGGCGACACGAGCGCCUUCUUCGCGGCGACGCUGGUGCUGUGGGCCGUGUCGGUGGGGUUCGAGAUCGGCGCGCGGGGACGCCGCGAGCUGGCCGCCGUGGCCGCCGGCUUCGCCUUCUUCCAGGCCGCCAACACGGCCGUCCGCGCCGCGGUCUCCCGCGACCCGCUCUUCGUCAACACCGCCGUCUCGCUGCUCCACUCCUCCCUCACCUCCGCCUCAGUUAUCUUUGUUCUAUUGUGCCAAUGGCGUACCAAGGGCCUUGAGAACAUGUUUCAGCAUGAAGAAUUAGUUGGUAGCAGUUGGAUUGGAGCAUAUUCUGCUCUGUGCUUUUCAUGUGGCUACUUUGCUUAUGACCAAUUGGAUAUGCUCCGCUACCGGCUGUACAGUGGAUGGAUUCCUGGGAUCCUGAUGCAUCACCUUAUUCUGCUUAUUUGCUUUACGCUAGCUCUGUAUCGGAAUGUGACAAUCAACUACCUAAUUCUCACUCUUCUAUGCGAGAUGCACUCCAUAUUCUUGCACGUAAGGAAACUGAGGAGAAUGGCUGGAUUCCGCGAUUUCAACAGAAAACUGGUGAAACUGGAAUGGGUACUCAACUGGACUACCUUUGUGACAGCAAGGGUGAUCUGCCACAUAUUGAUCACAUACAGACUGAUCACCGACGCACACAAGUUUGAUAAAGGCAUUGAGCUGCCACUAGCUCUUUCUGGUAUGGCGGGAAUGAAUUUGCUCAAUGUAUCUUUAGGGCUUGAUCUAUUUAAAGUGUUCGCGCGAGAGAGAAAUCAGCAGACGCAUCAGGACUGAAUGUUCUUGGCAGUGUACUGUAAAUUUUUGUAAGGUUAUAGUCACACCAAUGUAAAUCAGAAGACAGAGAUGCACUCCAUAUUCUUGCACGUAAGGAAACUGAGGAGAAUGGCUGGAUUCCGCGAUUUCAACAGAAAACUGGUGAAACUGGAAUGGGUACUCAACUGGACUACCUUUGUGACAGCAAGGGUGAUCUGCCACAUAUUGAUCACAUACAGACUGAUCACCGACGCACACAAGUUUGAUAAAGGCAUUGAGCUGCCACUAGCUCUUUCUGGUAUGGCGGGAAUGAAUUUGCUCAAUGUAUCUUUAGGGCUUGAUCUAUUUAAAGUGUUCGCGCGAGAGAGAAAUCAGCAGACGCAUCAGGACUGAAUGUUCUUGGCAGUGUACUGUAAAUUUUUGUAAGGUUAUAGUCACACCAAUGUAAAUCAGAAGACAGAGGUAUGUUCUAAGUGGUGGUAGCCUCUAGACUGUAGUGACAACCCAUAUAUGUAAUCUGUUAUGUAUGACGAAUUUGUAUUAAGAUGUCUUGCGGAAAGAUUCUCUGGCUACGCCAGCAUUAGUGGAAUUA